rnacentral:rRNA from 1 species
ACCUGGUGGCGAGUGGCGAACGGGUGAGUAAUACAUCGGAACAUGUCCUGUAGUGGGGGAUAGCCCGGCGAAAGCCGGAUUAAUACCGCAUACGAUCUACGGAUGAAAGCGGGGGACCUUCGGGCCUCGCGCUAUAGGGUUGGCCGAUGGCUGAUUAGCUAGUUGGUGGGGUAAAGGCCUACCAAGGCGACGAUCAGUAGCUGGUCUGAGAGGACGACCAGCCACACUGGGACUGAGACACGGCCCAGACUCCUACGGGAGGCAGCAGUGGGGAAUUUUGGACAAUGGGCGAAAGCCUGAUCCAGCAAUGCCGCGUGUGUGAAGAAGGCCUUCGGGUUGUAAAGCACUUUUGUCCGGAAAGAAAUCCCUGGCUCUAAUACAGUCGGGGGAUGACGGUACCGGAAGAAUAAGCACCGGCUAACUACGUGCCAGCAGCCGCGGUAAUACGUAGGGUGCGAGCGUUAAUCGGAAUUACUGGGCGUAAAGCGUGCGCAGGCGGUCUGUUAAGACAGAUGUGAAAUCCCCGGGCUCAACCUGGGAACUGCAUUUGUGACUGGCAGGCUAGAGUAUGGCAGAGGGGGGUAGAAUUCCACGUGUAGCAGUGAAAUGCGUAGAGAUGUGGAGGAAUACCGAUGGCGAAGGCAGCCCCCUGGGCCAAUACUGACGCUCAUGCACGAAAGCGUGUGGAGCAAACAGGAUUAGAUACCCUGGUAGUCCACGCCCUAAACGAUGUCAACUAGUUGUUGGGGAUUCAUUUCCUUAGUAACGUAGCUAACGCGUGAAGUUGACCGCCUGGGGAG